AGCGAACGCUGGCGGCAGGCUUAACACAUGCAAGUCGAACGGGCACUUCGGUGCUAGUGGCAGACGGGUGAGUAACGCGUGGGAACGUACCUUUCGGUUCGGAAUAAUUCAGGGAAACUUGGACUAAUACCGGAUACGCCCUUCGGGGGAGAGAUUUAUCGCCGAUAGAUCGGCCCGCGUCUGAUUAGUUAGUUGGUGAGGUAAUGGAUCACCAAGGCGACGAUCAGUAGCUGGUCUGAGAGGAUGAUCAGCCACAUUGGGACUGAGACACGGCCCAAACUCCUACGGGAGGCAGCAGUGGGGAAUAUUGGACAAUGGGCGCAAGCCUGAUCCAGCCAUGCCGCGUGAGUGAUGAAGGCCUUAGGGUUGUAAAGCUCUUUUGUCCGGGAAGAUAAUGACUGUACCGGAAGAAUAAGCCCCGGCUAACUUCGUGCCAGCCGCCGCCGUAAGAC
rnacentral:rRNA from 1 species